rnacentral:lncRNA from 1 species
AUGGCGGCGGCGUGGAUGGACCCGGCGCGGCUGUCUGUGACCUUCGAUGACGUGGCUGUGACCUUCACCCAGGAGGAGUGGGGGCAUCUGGAGCCUGCCCAGAGGACCCUGUACCGGGAGGUGAUGCUGGAGAACUGCGGCCUCCUGGUGUCUCUGGGGUGUCCUGUCCCCAGACCUGAGCUGAUCUACCAGCUGGAGCACGGGCAGGAGCUGUGGACGGUGAAGAGAGACCUCUCCCGAAGCACCUGUCCAGGUGACAAAGGAAAACCCAAGACCAGAGAAUCUACCACUUCUGAGCCAUCUCUGUUUGAGGGAGCCUCAGUCCAAGAACAGCUAACACAAAGAGUUUCAGAGGACUCCCAGUUGGGCCAAAUCAGUGAUCAAGAAGAGCCAUUGGAAAGGCAUGAAGGAUGCUUGAGACCAGAGAUAGAACCCCAGAACGGGAAGCUCCCUGGGAAUCCAAGCUGUGUACUUGGCAGCUUAGGGACAGCUGGUGGUGUGUGUUCAAGGAUCGUAGAGGAGCCAGUCCCUCCAGGGGGUGCUGUCCAUGACCGUGACUCCUGUGAAUCAGUUACAGAUCCCCUGAUUCAGGAAGAGGAAAGUCUCUUCAAAUGCAAUGAGUGUGGGAAAGUUUUUAAUAAGAAACGCCUCCUUGCUCGACAUGAGAGGAUUCAUUCUGGAGUGAAGCCCUAUGAAUGCACAGAGUGUGGGAAAACCUUUAGUAAGAGCACUUAUCUCCUUCAACACCACAUGGUCCACACCGGAGAGAAGCCCUAUAAGUGCAUGGAGUGCGGCAAGGCCUUCAACCGCAAGUCGCACCUGACACAACACCAGCGGAUUCACAGUGGGGAGAAGCCCUACAAGUGCAGUGAGUGUGGAAAGGCCUUCACCCACCGCUCCACUUUUGUUUUGCAUAACAGGAGCCACACUGGAGAAAAACCGUUUGUGUGCAAAGAAUGUGGAAAAGCCUUCCGAGAUAGGCCGGGUUUCAUUCGACAUUACAUCAUCCACAGUGGUGAGAAUCCAUAUGAGUGCUUCGAGUGUGGCAAGGUCUUCAAACACAGGUCAUACCUCAUGUGGCACCAGCAGACCCACACUGGGGAGAAGCCCUAUGAGUGCAGUGAAUGUGGGAAAGCCUUCUGUGAGAGCGCAGCCCUCAUUCACCACUACGUCAUCCACACCGGGGAGAAGCCCUUCGAGUGCCUCGAGUGCGGGAAGGCCUUCAACCACAGGUCAUACCUCAAGAGGCACCAGCGGAUCCACACUGGGGAGAAGCCCUAUGUGUGCACCGAGUGUGGAAAGGCCUUCACCCACUGUUCCACUUUUAUCUUACAUAAAAGAGCCCACACUGGCGAGAAACCUUUUGAGUGCAAAGAAUGUGGAAAAGCCUUUAGCAAUCGGGCAGACCUCAUUCGGCACUUCAGCAUCCACACUGGAGAGAAGCCUUAUGAGUGCACGGAAUGUGGGAAGGCCUUCAACCGCAGGUCUGGCCUCACCAGACACCAGCGGAUUCACAGUGGAGAGAAGCCCUAUGAAUGCAUGGAGUGUGGGAAAACCUUCUGCUGGAGCACAAACCUCAUUCGACACUCCAUCAUCCACACUGGAGAGAAGCCCUAUGAGUGCAGUGAGUGUGGAAAGGCCUUCAGUCGCAGCUCGUCCCUCACUCAGCACCAGAGGGUUCAUACUGGGAGAGACCCUGUCAGUGUGACAGAAGUGGGAAGACCCUUUACAAGUGGGCAAACCUCAGUCAACCUUCAAGAACUCCUAUUGGGGAAAGACUUUUUGAAUGUAACCACUGAGGAAAAUCUUUUGCCAGAAGAAACAUGUUACUCAGAAUCUGAUCAUUCAUACCAAAGAGAAACGCCACAGUUUUCUUCCCUGUGAGAAAAACUAUUGCAGGAUAUUAAUUAUCGUCUAAAGACUCAUAUUGGAAAUUGACCCAACCUAGAGCCUUAUUCUGCACGUGAGAAUUCAUCAAGGAGAGAGACCCAGUGGUUAUGCACUUCCAUCUUCUUAGUUUACAUUUCACUAUUAUCUCAGGAAUUUUUUUUCAAAAAGAAGGGAGAGACUUAGAAAAUGAACUGCAAAAAAGUUUCUUUCAGAUGUCCUUGCCAAACUGGCGCUUUGUCAUAGAUUUCUUAGUUAACUGAUAGGAAGAGUGUUUUGUUUCCAUGGUAAAGAACCUAUACUAUGUGUCUUGUAUAUACAUUCGUUGCUAUCCAGUGUAAG